UACAGAGGUCCCAAGCGUUGUUCGGAUUCACUGGGCGUAAAGGGUGCGUAGGUGGCGGGGUAAGUUUGAUGUGAAAUCUCCGGGCUUAACCCGGAAACUGCAUUGAAUACUAUUCUGCUGGAGGUUUGGAGGGGGGACUGGAAUUCUCGGUGUAGCAGUGAAAUGCGUAGAUAUCGAGAGGAACACCAGUGGCGAAGGCGAGUCCCUGGACAACACCUGACACUGAGGCACGAAAGCUAGGGGAGCAAACAGG
rnacentral:rRNA from 1 species